rnacentral:rRNA from 1 species
AGCGAACGCUGGCGGCGUGCCUAACACAUGCAAGUCGAACGUGAAAGGGAGCAAUCCCAAGUAAAGUGGCGUACGGGUGAGUAACACGUAGGUAAUCUACCCCGGAAUCUGGAAUAACCGGCCGAAAGGCUGGCUAAUACUGGAUAGAGCGACGGAAUCCGUAAUUGGGUUUUUCGGGAAAGGGAGCCUGUAAAAAGGCCUUCGUUCUGGGAUGAGCCUGCGUCCCAUCAGCUAGUUGGUGAGGUAAAAGCUUACCAAGGCAAUGACGGGUAGCUGGUCUGAGAGGACGAUCAGCCACACUGGAACUGAAACACGGUCCAGACUCCUACGGGAGGCAGCAGUGGGGAAUCUUGCGCAAUGGACGAAAGUCUGACGCAGCAACGCCGCGUGAGUGAAGAAGGCCUUCGGGUUGUAAAGCUCUGUCGAGUGGGACGAAAAUGCUUGGAGUUCACAGCUCCAGGAACUGACGGUACCACUAAAGGAAGCACCGGCUAACUCCGUG